rnacentral:rRNA from 1 species
UACGGAGGGGGCUAGCGUUGUUCGGAAUUACUGGGCGUAAAGCGCACGUAGGCGGCUUUGUAAGUUAGAGGUGAAAGCCCAGGGCUCAACCCUGGAAUUGCCUUUAAGACUGCAUCGCUUGAAUCACGGAGAGGUUAGUGGAAUUCCGAGUGUAGAGGUGAAAUUCGUAGAUAUUCGGAAGAACACCAGUGGCGAAGGCGACUAACUGGACGUGUAUUGACGCUGAGGUACGAAAGCGUGGGGAGCAAACAGG